UUUUCAGUGUCGCAGGGAAACCGAUAAACACACCGCCUGGGGAGUACGACCGCAAGGUUAAAACUCAAAUGAAUUGACGGGGACCCGCACAAGUAGUGGAGCAUGUGGUUUAAUUCGAAGAUACGCGCAGAACCUUACCAACACUUGACAUGUUCGUCGCGACUCUAAGAGAUUAGAGUUUUCGGUUCGGCCGGACGAAACACAGGUGCUGCAUGGCUGUCGUCAGCUCGUGUCGUGAGAUGUUGGGUUAAGUCCCGCAACGAGCGCAACCCUCACUUUUAGUUGCCAUCAUUAAGUUGGGCACUCUGACAGAACUGCCAGUGAUAAGCUGGAGGAAGGUGGGGAUGACGUCAAGUCCUCAUGGCCCGUACGUGUUGGGCUACACACGUGCUACAAUGGCAUCUACAACAGGAAGCAAAACGGCAACGUUAAGCAAAUCCUGAAAAGAUGCCUCAGUUCGGAUUGCACUCUGCAACUCGAGUGCAUGAAGCUGGAAUUACUAGUAAUCGUGGAUCAGCGUGCCACGGUGAAUGCGUUCCCGGGUCUUGUACACACCGCCCGUCACACCAUGGGAGUUGGUUCUACCUUAAGGCAAGGUUUUAAACCCUUGACCACGGUAUAGUCAGCGACUGGGGUGAAGUCGUAACAAGGUAGCCGUAGGGGAACCUGCGGCUGGAUUACCUCCUU
rnacentral:rRNA from 1 species